UUUUGCCCUUUACUGAAUUUUCCCUUAUGUUCCCUUUUUGCCCCUUCCCAUUUGCAUCUCUUUCAAUUCGAAAGUUUCGUUCGCUCUCAGCUUUCCAGUCCGUUUCAAACCAGUUGGUUGGGCUGGUUAGGGGCAGCCAUGGAAGAUCAAAGCUCACUGUUCUGCAUGCGUGGGGGCCGUCGAUUUUCGUUUGGGGAGGGGCGCUGCAAAUCCAGCCGCCCUUUUGGUCUUUAUCUCAUCGGUUCUCCUCUCAGAUCUUGCGUUCGUGUUUUGCCGUUCCAGAUGCGCUUCAUCAUUCUUCUCAUCGCACGGGUUUUAGCUCAAAGGAUUUCUGGGUUUCGUUAAAAAAGAGUGGAAGAUCUAAGGAAAAAGAACUGGAGUAAUCAAUAUGAGAACCCCCAGUCUGCUCAUCAAUCUGGUAAUUGAUGUCUGUGUGGCUGAUAUUCUGUUUGCGUGUGGUUAUAGACUCCUGCAUUUUUUUUUUUAUGACUCCAGAUCAGAAUUAUAAUUCUAAUAGAUGUUAUAGAUUUUCUGUUUGCGUAUGGUUAUAGAUUUUCUGUGUGGCUGAUUUUUUUUCUGUUCGUACUUAUCUUGCGUUCCCUUUUUAUGACUCCAGUUAAAUUGGACAUUUCAAGAACUAUUUUCUUCACAUAAUUAUGUUUAUCACAUGUCACACCCUCCCAUUGGUCUCUGCAAUGGUCUGAACUCAUGUUCCAACCCCAUUUUGAUAUCUCUCACUGAAUUUCCUGGUGAAAGUUUGUCCAUGAAUUGCACCGGUACUUGCGUGAGUUGCUUCAAGUCUUGAUCUUCUGAAUUAGCCAUUGGAAAGAUGAGAAAGAUCAAAAUGGCCAGUACCCAAGUGGGAAAACGAUUCAUUUUUUGUUAUUUUUAUGUACAAGUAGAGUAUUUUGUGGAAAAUGGUUCUGUGGUUUUGGUUUCCGCUUUAUGAAGUGGGCUUCAUUGAUGGAAGUUGCAAAACAAGAAGAAAGUAAGUUUGUUGCUGGAAUAUGACUUGGUGCCAAUUGGCUGAUACAGAUAGAGAGUUUGAAGUAUUCUUUAUGGUUAAGGUUAUGUACCAUGAGGAGCUUGCAGAAUGAGCCUUACACCGCGCUAUAGCCAAUAACAAUUCUGAAAAAAUAAGUGGAGCCAUUGGAAAUUUGCGUGUGGUUAUAGAUUUUCCGUGUGGCUGUUUUUUUUUAAUUUUUUUUUUUCUGUUCGUACUUAUCUUGCGUUCCCUUUUUGGAGAGCAAGUAAGACUUUGUGCCUAUUAGUUGUUAAAUUUUCUGCUUUUAGUGAAUUUGAGGGGUAUAAAUGGAAGUGGAGGGAAUUGGGUUUGGUUGUGUGAGUGAAAUUAUGCAUCUUUUUGUGUUAUUUCAGUCCAAGUUUGUACCUUUGUAUAUAUGAGUGUGUUGUUCUAUUUUGAUAUAUGAGUGUAAAAUCUUACUUUACCGCCUAA